ACGGUUACUUUAGCUCCGAUUUUGAUGAUUUUUUACAGCUACACUCCUCGACCCUAUAAGAAUGCAUUGAACGAAUUCGAUCUUCAAUUUAAAAUAUCUGCACUAGUGGAUAAAUCUUAUUUUAUACUUAAUGUAAGUAUAACAUUAACUCUAAGUGUUUGUUUAAUCUACCGUUUUGAUGCGAUACGCAUUCUAUGAAGCGUUUUUCAAUGAUCCAACCGUCAAACUUGUUUGUACACACUCCGAGAUCGCAUACGUAAAAAAUCACAAAAAACAAACAUUAAGAGAUUAGGUAACAAAAUAAAAGUUUUCAACGGUUAUAAACGAAAAAUCACAAUUUAACGGUUAUUUUAGCUCCGAUUUUAAUCAUUUUUUACAGCUACAAUCCUCGACCCUAUAAGAAUGUAAUGAAUGAAUUUGAUCUUCAAUUUAAAAUAUUUACACUAGUGGAUACCA
rnacentral:lncRNA from 1 species